rnacentral:snoRNA from 1 species
CCGUCUCUUGCCUCGCUCGGUUUGCUGCCUUUGAUCAGCUUAUCUUGAGCUGGAUUCUGCACAGACCCUGCUUUGUCAGCGCGUCUGUCCAGUCUGAGACAAGAUCAAUCAUGGAUUUCCAUGCUUCGACGUUUUUUGAGUACGAUUUGGCCCGAUCUGCCCUACGGGUCUUCAUCGUAAUUUAUCUGUCGGAACAGC